rfam:Gossypium raimondii chromosome 13, whole genome shotgun sequence.
AUUUCAUGAUGAGGGCACUUCCGUAAUAAUUUUUUGUACAUUUCCCAUACCUCAUACAAGGCUCAUCAUCCAUUUGUUGGAAAGCAGUGAUCUCGUUCCUGAACUU